UGUCAUAGUCGUCGGUACACUAGACCGUCAACCAUAUAUGGAAUCGACACAGUUUGAGAAAUAAUUGUUCAAAAUACAUAAAAUUUUAAAAUCAAACAAAAAAGUUAAGAUCAUAUAAAAUAAUUAUAGUUGUUUAUUUCUCUUGAAAUUUUUUUUGUUUGUUUUUUGGAAUUUUUUAAUAGAGUAUUUUCUAAACUAUUUUAUAGUUUUCUAACAGAGUUUAUGAAAUAAACAACUCAAAUAUGAAGUAUCAGUUUGAUGAUCUUAAAUGUUGAAAAAUGGUUUAAUAAUCGGGAAAAGCAAGUUAAUUCAGAUAAAUAUUUCUUACCUAUAUUAAAAAAGAUACGUUAUAAUUAGGAUUUUAAAAUUAAAGUCUUACAAACAAAAUAUAAGAAAUACAGUAUUAUGAUUUGUAUGUUACUAAACAUGAAUUAGUAGAAAGACAUUAAAACGGAAAAUAAUAGAAAAAUUAUAAAAAUUGUUAAAAAUAGCGAAAUUAAUAAUAUAUUAUUACUCUAGCAAUAGUCGGAAUUAACUUAUAUGUCUUAAAAUGUAGAAUGUCCUUCAAAACGUAGACUUUGAAGUCAUAAUAGCUUCGAAUAUUAAAAUAGAAUAUAUGUGAAUUAUUUUUCAAUAAUCCAAGUAAGCACAAUUAUUUGAUAAAUGAUUUAACAAAUGACAAAUAAAAAUUCACUUUCAAAUAAAAAUUCACUUAGAUCUUGGAAAUGUAUAUUCAGUCACAUAUUUGCACCACCUUAUGACAUAUCAAAUGAGUUCCACCCCAAAGUAAAAUAAAAUUUUAUUCCGUAGACAUAUCUUUAGAUAUUUUCAACAAAUAUAUUGAUAUUUGAACAGCCCAAUAAAUAUUAUGGAGAUGCAUCUUCCAAAAAUAUUUGUCACCUUUGCAUCUCAAAUAUUUAUGGAGAUGCAUUUUCAAAAUAAGUUGAUAAAACAGUCACCUGCAUGAUCACAAACCCAUGCUUUUUUUCACUCAAAACUCUUUCCAAAAACCCUUCCAUUCUCAAUCAACAAUUUGACUAUAACUCUUCAUUCUUGUGUUUCAUCACAUCAAAAGGAGAAAAAGAAGUUGAGAUUCUAGAUAUGGUGCACCCCGAUGUUUCUUACAAAUAUGUUGUGUCUCCGGAUGUCAAAGGCGUUGUUGCGAAGGAGGUAGAUGUUGGAAACCAAUUUAAAAAUGAAAAAGAGUUUGAAUUUCGCGACCACAUGCUUUAAUUGAUUUUUACGAAGGCCUCUAAAUCAAGAUUUGAUGUGGUAAUCGGAAGGUCCAAUAAUGAUUCAGAGAAGAGGUACAUUUGUGACAAUGACAUGCGAAAGAAGUGGGAAAUGUAGGUCUCUUCUCCGAAAUUUUAAACGAGAUGACACCGGUUCAAGAAAAUGUGAGUGUCCCUUUAAGUUGUUUGAUUAUAUGUUGGAAAAUAAGAAAUGGAGAUUUAAUGUCAUAUGUUGUUUACAUAGUCAUGAUAUGUGUGAAAAGUUAGUCAGUCAUCCAAUUGUGUGUUGCCUCAUGCCGGAAAAGAAGGAACGUGUUUCAGACAUGACAAUGAAUUUGGUUCAACCGAAACACAUACUUGUAACUUUGAAACGCAAAAGACCCGAAAGUAUCUCAAAUAUCAAGCAAGUGUAGAAUAUUUGAUACCAAUAUAACAAGGUGCUAAGGGGGAUCUAAGUGAAAUGCAAUAACUAUUGAAACUUUUGGAUGAUAACAGUUGUGUUUCUAGGUACCGAACGUGCAAUGAUGAAGUAAUCGUUAGAGAUAUAUUUUGGACUCAUCCUCAUUCCAUCAAGUUGUUCAACAUAUUUUCUGUUGUGCUCAUCAUUGAUUCAAUGUAUAAGACCAAUAAGUACAAACUUCCACUAUUCGAGAUGGUUGGUGUUACCUCCACUGAGAUGACUUAUUGUCGGGUUUGCUUUUCUAGAGAACAAAAAAAGAGGAGAAUGUUACCUGGGCUUUAGAGGUGUGUCGGUAAAUCUUGAAGGACCAAGAAAAGAUGCCGAAAGUAAUUGUUACCGACCGUGAUAUCGCUUUGGUGAAUUCAGUUGCAAAGUUAUUUUCUACUUCUUAUAGAUUACUUUGUAGGUAUCACAUAAAAAAGAAUGUGAGAAGUCAGGUUAAAUCCGCGGCAGGGAUGAAACAUAUAAAGUCCGAAGAUAGAAAAAUGGUGAAGGAGGGUGUGAUAGUGCAAAACAUAAUGGAUGCAUGGAAUUUUAUAGUAAAUUCUUCUAGCCAAUUUCGUUAUACAUUUCAGGAAGGUGCGUGAGAAAUAUCAAAAUUUAUUGAAAAUAUGUUGAAAGCACAAUUUUGGACCAAGUGAAGGAGAAAUUUGUUUGUGCACAGACCGAUCAGGUUAGACACCUUGGGAAUAUAACAAAAAAUCGAGUUGAGUCUGCCCAUGCUACAUUGAAUAAUUGGUUGGGAAAUAGUAAGGGCGAUUUGUGUUGAGAUUGAGACUUUGUGAACCAAAUGAUCAAGAACCAUCAUAAUGAGAUACAUACAUCAUUUGGUCGGAGCAUCAUAGUUUUGGAACACAUAUUUAAAGAUAAAAAUCUUUAUUCUCAGUUGGUCAAAAACAUAUCUCGAUCAGGUUUGAAUUAUAUUUUUCACAAAGCAAAAGAAGUUGAUAAUGUAGGCUUCAAUAGCGCAAAAUAUGGUUGCACAAUUGUGAAAACCUAUGGUCUCCCAUGUGCUUAUCUUAUAGUAAGAAGGUGAAACUUGGUAGCCCGUUAAGAAUGCAUGAAGUUCGCAGUCGCCGGAAAAGACUUAUGUUUGAUGAUGAUGAUGUCAUGCAAGAAGGUAAAUCUAAUAUCUCUAUCAUGACCGAAUGGAAAGUGAUACAAGAGAGAUUUUUGAAAGUAGAUGACAAUAUGAAACUCCACAUCAAAGAAUAAUUGAGGAAGAUUUCUUAUCCAGAAACCACUGACUUGAAACCACCCUCUCAAUCGGUAAAAACAAAAGAUGCUCUGAAGAAGGUCAAGCCUACACCGAAUGACAAUUCAAUGGUGUGGUUUUCUUCGUAUUUUGAACAUGUUGACAAAGUUUUUCCGGACUCACCAACUCCAAAAUUUCAAAAAAGUGUUUUUAAAGGAGAUCGCAUUAGCAAACCACCUCCACAAAAAAUUCCAUCCAUUGACGAGGAGUCAACUUUUAUGCACAAAUACAUCAAAUAAAUUGUCAAUGUUGAGGGUGUUGGUAAUUGUGGUUUUCGAGUUGUUUCGACUUUGCUCGGUAAAGGAGAAGGUGAUCACACAUUUGUUUGCCAUCAAUUUAUCUAUGAGUUGAGGACCCAUAAAGAAUCAUACACAUGACUUUACGAAAAGAUAGAAUUUUUUAGGUUCAUAUUUGUCUAUAACUACUAUAAAUACAAGUUCUUGUAUCAUGUCUCAUACAAACAGAAAAUGUCGCAAAUGUCGUAAAUGAACAUCAUAUGGGAUGUCACAAAUGUUCUCCUUUUCCAGUGAUCAGUCACAAUUUUAUGCUAUUUAUUUUGUCACUUCUUCGACAAAAAUCCAGGUUCAAGUAGGUACUCAAACAGGAUCGAAGGUAGAAACCAAGGAGAAAUGAACAAAAUUCGGGAAGAGAUUUGCAUAGUCCAGUAGGCCUGCUACAACCACCCGUAGCACCUACUAUGGACCGUAGUAGGGGGUCUGGCACAAGGAGAAACCAUCCACUGAAACAGUGGCCCGCUACAGCCACCCGUAGCACCUGCUAAGGGCCGUAGCUAGGGACCUGGCACCAGACUUCUCAAACAGUGGCCUGCUACGGCCACCCGUAGCACCGACUACGGGCUGUAGCAGGCAUGCGUGAAAAAAAAUCCAAUUUUGACUUUUCUGUUGUCAUUCCUAAGUGAUGGGCAUUUUGAUCAAUUGCGAGGAGAAUAUGAUGGACUUUUGUGGAUUUGUUUGAAGAAAGAAAAUAUUUUUCUAUAAGAGGGCAAAAUUUUCAGACAAGAAGGGACCUUUUGAUAGAAUAAGAAUUGAUACGAUUAAGAAUUAGAGAAAUCAAGGUUUUGGGAGAAACGCGAUCUUUCAUGAAUGGAAGCAAUUGAAGAUCAAAGUUCAUCUGAAUACUUGUAAUGUCUCUAUUUUAUAUAUUGAUUUGCUUGAAUAUUAUG